GCGCCCGCUUCCACAGCACAUACACUAAAAUUGGGACGACACAGAGAUGCGCAGGGACCCUGUGCGAGGAUGACACGCAAAUUCGUGACGCGUUCCAUGUUUUU